AUUAACUAAUAGAGCUAGAACUGAUGUUGUGUCUGAAUAUUCUGGUACUCCAUUACACUGUGCUAGUGAAACUGGUAAUGCUGAUAUUACCAAGUUAUUAAUAACUAAAGGAAAGGCUGAUGUGAAUGCUGCGGAUAAGAACAACAGAACUCCAUUGUUUAAUGCUGUUAAGA